AGGUCCCAAAGUGCGUGUUAAGUGGAAAAGGAUGUGGGAUUUCGAAGACAACUAGGAUGUUGGCUCAGAAGCAGCCACACAUUAAAAGAGUGCGUAAUAGCUCACUAGUCGAGAGGUCCUGCGCCGAAAAUGUCCGGGGCUAAAACACAACACCGAAGCUUAGGAAUUCUAAUGAAUUGGUAGAGGAGCAUUGAAGACGGAACGAAGCCAUACCGAAAGGAAUGGUGGACUGUCUUGAAGAGAGAAUGCCGGAAUGAGUAGCGAGAUUGAAGUGAGAAUCUUCAAGGCCGAAUAUCUAAGGUUUCCAGGGUAAAGCUGAUCUGCCCUGGGUAAGUCGGGGCCUAAGGCAAGGUCGAAAGACGUAGUCGAUGGAUAACAGGUUGAAAUUCCUGUACUGCAUCAAAUCAGAAAUGUGGGGACACAUGAGGGAAGCAUGAGCCGGAAAAGGAAAGUCCGGUACAAGCGCAGCAGAGGACAGAUAGGCAAAUCCGUCUGUCAACUCAAGGGCGCGAUGUGGAGCGAACCAAAGUAGCGAAGCAUGUGGAGCUUGUGUCGAGAAAAGCCGCUAUAGUGUUUGAUGUACCCGUACCGUAAACCGACACAGGUGGAUGAGGAGAGAAUCCUAAGGCCGGCGGGAGAAGCAUUGUUAAGGAACUCGGCAAAAUGACCCCGUAACUUCGGGAGAAGGGGUGCUCACGCAAGUGAGCCGCAGAGAACUGGCCCAAGCAACUGUUUAGCAAAAACACAGGUCUAUGCAAAACCGAAAGGUGAGGUAUAUGGGCUGACGCCUGCCCGGUGCUGGAAGGUUAAGAGGAGAUGUUAGAGCAAUCGAAGCAUUGAAUUUAAGCCCCAGUAAACGGCGGCCGUAACUAUAACGGUCCUAAGGUAGCGAAAUUCCUUGUCGGGUAAGUUCCGACCCGCACGAAAGGCGUAAUGAUUUGAGCGCUGUCUCGACAAUGCACCCGGUGAAAUUGAAAUACCAGUGAAGAUGCUGGUUACCUGCGCCAGGACGGAAAGACCCCAUGGAGCUUUACUCUAGCUUGAUACUGGGAUUCGGUAUUGCAUGUACAGGAUAGGUGGGAGACGAAGAGGUGAUGACGCCAGUUGUCACGGAGUCGAUGUUGGGAUACCACCCCUGCAGUACUGGGUUUCUAACCUGCGGCCGUGACCCGGCCGGGGGACAAUGUCUGGUGGGGAGUUUGACUGGGGCGGUCGCCUCCGAAAGGGUAUCGGAGGCGCUCAAAGGUUCCCUCAGAAUGGUUGGAAACCAUUCGAAGAGUGCAAAGGCAGAAGGGAGCUUGACUGCGACACCGACGGGUGGAGCAGGUACGAAAGUAGGACUUAGUGAUCCGGUGGUAUGAAAGUGGGAUUGCCAUCGCUCAACGGAUAAAAGCUACCCUGGGGAUAACAGGCUUAUCACUCCCAAGAGUUCACAUCGACGGAGUGGUUUGGCACCUCGAUGUCGGCUCAUCGCAUCCUGGGGCUGUAGUAGGUCCCAAGGGUUGGGCUGUUCGCCCAUUAAAGCGGUACGCGAGCUGGGUUCAGAACGUCGUGAGACAGUUCGGUCCCUAUCCGGCGUGGGCGUAGGAUAUCUGAGAGGAGCUGUCCUUAGUACGAGAGGACCGGGAUGGACUGACCUCUGGUGCAUCGGUUGAGCCACCAGGCUCAUGGCCGAGUAGCCAAGUCGGGACGGGAUAAACGCUGAAGGCAUCUAAGCGUGAAGCCCCCCUCAAGAUGAGAUAUCCCAUAGAGUUAAUCUAGUAAGACCCCUUGAAGACGACGAGGUAGAUAGGCAGAAGGUGGAAGUGUGGUGACAUAUGGAGCUGAUCUGUACUAAUAGGUCGAGGGCUUAACCAA
rnacentral:rRNA from 1 species